GACGUAGGGGGCGAGCGUUGUCCGGAAUUAUCGUGGGCGUACAAGCGCGUGUGAGGCGGGCUGGUAGGCGGCGUGUGAAAAGGUGGGGCUCAACCCUCAUGAGGUCGCGCCGGAACCGGCCAGUCUUUGGGACGGCGAGGGGCAACUGGGAAUGGUCGGAGGAGCGGUGAAAUGCGUAGAGCCCGAUCAGAACACCGGUGGCGAAGGCGGGUUGCUGGAGCCGGGCCGACGCUGAGACGGCGAAAGCGCGGGGAGCGAACGGG
rnacentral:rRNA from 1 species